CUUUAUCCUGCAGGAGAGGAGCUGCAUCCUUUAUCCUGCAUGAGUGAGAGGAGCUGCAUCCUUUAUCCUGCAGGUGUGCUAGGAGCUGCAUCCUUUAUCCUGCAGGAGUGGGAGGAGCUGCAUCCUUUAUCCUGCAGGUGUGAGAGGAGCUGCAUCCUUUAUCCUGCAGGAGAGGAGCUGCCUCCUUUAUCCUGCAGGAGUGAUAGGAGCUGCAUGCUUUAUCCUGCAGGUGUGAGAGGAGCUGCUCCCUGAGAGCAUUCCCAGCCCAGCCUCAGCCUCAUCUGCUGCUUCCAGGGUGCUGAAGGACAGAAGUGCUUUUACACAGCACUGAUCAAGGCUGCCAGAACAUUUUAAUCCCUCUCCCCUCCCUUUUCAAGGUAGAAUGUCAUUUGCUAAAGCGACCAGAACCUGAGAUGGUUCCAAGCUGUGCACACUGGUACAACUUCCUGAGCAAACUCAGGAAAAAAAAAUUACUUUUCCUGGAUAAAUUGAAUUGUUCUUGCUACUGAAUUCUCCUGGAAGGCUUCCCUUUCCACCCUCCCACCCCUGGCUGUCCCAGUGCCAUGACCUGGUUACACACUGGGCACUGGAUGUGUCCAAAUGGCACUCAUGAGGCUUUGGGGACACUGUGCUCAUCUCCCUGUUCCCCCCACAGUCUCUGAUUUCUCGUGGCUGCAGCCCCUGGGAGCAGGGGCUGGGCACAAAUAAUGAGAUACUCCAGAACCUGUGGUCUGGGAGGAGGGAAAUGCCUGUGUGUGACAGCAUCUGCAGGAACAGUAACUGCAGGUGGAUGGGGGUGGCACACUGAGAAAUGGGGGCACUAGUGAUGGGAAUGAAACUGGGAACACUGGGGAAAGCCCCAUUCCCAGCAGGCUGAAGGACAGAGCCAUGCCCAGCCCCGGCACGAUUUCAAGGACACCAGCUCCACACCCUUUCCAAGAACGAUUAGUUACUGCAAACGAAGAGGAAUCCAAGAAAGAUGGAAAGGCCCAGCUAUUUUGGAGGGCUUGCCUCAUUGCUGGGAUGAUCCCGAGCAGCCUGGGACACAGGCCUUGGCACAGCAGCGCGUGGGUGGCGGUGGGGGAAGUCCAGGAGCAGGAAUCCAGCUGCCCUGGCAGCAGAGUCCCUUUCCCAGCCCCGAGGUCUCCACUGAACCCUGCUGCACCUGCAGGGCCGGGCUGGGGCUCGCCCAGGGGGAUGUGCGGGCACACAGGGCUUCUCUGCAGCCUGGUGAGAUGGCAGGCAAGCCCAGAGGAAAUCACAGCUUUCCAGUUUCCAGGGAACUGGGGGGGAAAGCUGUGGUUAACAGCCGGAAUGUCGCUCCCUGAAGUCCCAGCUGCAAAGUUUCCUGCAUUUCUCAUUCCUCAGGGGAGCCCUUGCAGAAGAUGUUGUGGGAACAGAGGAUGCAGGGGAGACCUCCCAGCUGUGCAUGCAGUGGAACAACGAGCCACCACAGGCAGAUCCCAGUGGGCUCAGAACCCGCUGCUGACCCAGGUCCUGGAAGGUGAUGGCAGCUUCCACACACACCCCACAUCCCCGCACAAACCUGCAGCUUUCACUUAG
rnacentral:lncRNA from 12 species